UACGAAGGGGGCUAGCGUGGUUCGGAAUCACUGGGCGUAAAGCGCACGUAGGCGAAUCGUUAAGUCGGGGGUGAAAUCCCGAGGCUCAACCUCGGAACUGCCUUCGAUACUGGCGAUCUUCGAGUCCGGGAGAGGUGAGUGGAACUCCGAGUGUAGAGGUGAAAUUCGUAGAUAUUCGGAAGAACACCAGUGGCGAAGGCGGCUCACUGGCCCGGUACUGACGCUGAGGUGCGAAAGCGUGGGGCGCAAACAGG
rnacentral:rRNA from 1 species